UGGAGAUCCCUAUUCAUCUGAGGCCUCAGAAGGGUGCAGCAGGGCCACGGCGCUGGAAUCCGGCCCGGCCCAGUGCCGGCGUUGGCAGCGGCCUUCCCAUUAUAUCAGGAAGGGCCAUAUCCCGUCGCCGCCAUGCCCCAGCCCCCCCGACUCGCCUCAGCUGUCUGCAGGACCUGGAGCCGGACAGAGGGUGCCCUGGAAGAAGCAGAGCUGUUGGUCUGAGGUGUGGAAAGCCAGCGAGUCUGGAUGCGACCAUUGCUGCGUGGCGGACAGGAAUGCUCCUGUGCAAAAUUACUUUCAAUUCCAGUGGUGAUUAGAUGAUGAUGAUGUGUUUUAAUAAUAAACAUGGGAG
ensembl:lncRNA